rnacentral:rRNA from 1 species
AUUGAACGCUGGCGGCAGGCUUAACACAUGCAAGUCGAGCGGGGGAAGGUAGCUUGCUACUGGACCUAGCGGCGGACGGGUGAGUAAUGCUUAGGAAUCUGCCUAUUAGUGGGGGACAACAUCUCGAAAGGGAUGCUAAUACCGCAUACGUCCUACGGGAGAAAGCAGGGGAUCUUCGGACCUUGCGCUCAUAGAUGAGCCUAAGUCGGAUUAGCUAGUUGGUGGGGUAAAGGCCUACCAAGGCGACGAUCUGUAGCGGGUCAGAGAGGAUGAUCCGCCGCACUGGGACUGAGACACGGCCCAGACUCCUACGGGAGGCAGCAGUGGGGAAUAUUGGACAAUGGGGGGAACCCUGAUCCAGCCAUGCCGCGUGUGUGAAGAAGGCCUUAUGGUUGUAAAGCACUUUAAGCGAGGAGGAGGCUACUUUAGUUAAUACCUAGAGAUAGUGGACGUUACUCGCAGAAUAAGCACCGGCUAACUCUGUGCCAGCCGCCGCAGUAA